AUCUUCACAAGACUAUUUAUGAUGUACAGUAUACUCUCUUGACAAUUUCAUACUGCUCAGUCCCCAAUUUGCUAAACAAAUUUGAGGGGGUGGGGCGGGGAAGAACUAUCUCAGGACAAAGUUUUCCAAGCACUGCAAGUCUAUCUGGGUUUUCACAACAAUCAUGUUGUAAGAAUAACCAUAUCAGACAAGUCUGUUGAAAUGAUUCAAGUCAAUUUGGUAAAAUUAACAAAACUUUGCCAUUUACUCCAUUGUUGGGCCAUAUCCUUGGUCAUCAUAAGCUAUCAAAUGUCCUUAAAUUUCAUGCAACUCUCCUCCAGUUCUUACUUCAAUCAGAAUCCAGUUUAUCUAGUUUUUACAUUUUUCGAACUCCAACACACC
rnacentral:lncRNA from 1 species